UUCUUUUGCAAUGUUUUCUGGUUUUUAACUGUUCUCCUCAUUCCUUCCCAGUAGAAGAAGCAAAGAUAUCUUUCAUCUUAGGCUUACUCACUGGAAAAGCUUUAGAGGGGACUGAAGCCAGGUUUCAGUAUCCUUCAUUUUUUGGUUGCUCUUAUAAGGACUUUUUUGAUGAGUUUCAACUGACUUUUUCUGUUUCCACUGAUUGGACGGGCUUAUCCUGCCGAUUAUGGAACCUGAAACAGGGCCACAGGACAGUAGCCGAGUUUUCCACUGAAUUUCGCACAUUGGCAGGCGCUUCUGGCUGGAACCCCAGUGCAUUAAAAACUGCAUUUUUCAAGCAUUAAACGAGUCCUUAAAGGAUGAACUUGCCACACUUGAUGAGCCUGAGACUCUCAACCAUUUAAUUGCCCUGGCUGCUACAAUAGACAAUCGGCUCAGGGACAGGUGGAGGACACGUGCUGAAGGUUCUUUGGCUGGCAGGAGUACGUUUGUCUCUACUUACAAGAAGACCCCUAUUUUACCCACUCCUGGCCAGUCUUCCGAAAUAGAACCUAUGCAGAUGGGGCACGCACAUCUCAUUCCAGAGGAGAAACAGAGGAGACGAACUGCUAAUUACUGUGGUUCCUCUGAACAUUACCUAGCCUCAUGUCCGAUUCGGCCAAAAGAUCGGGUCCGUCAGUGAGGACGGGGAGUCUGAUGGACCAUACCACAAUACCUACAUUUCCCCAUCUAAUUAUUCCUGCCAAGAUCCUGCUGCCCCAUUCUUCACAUGAACACACUGCUCUUGUCGACUCUGGUUGUGAACGUGACCUCAUCGACAGUACACUAGUGGAGAGACUUGGGAUCAGAACUGUACAACUCUCAACACCUCUCAGAACCGAGGCCUUAGAUGGGAAGGAACUGCCUCGCAUAACACAUCCCACUGAACCAUUGCAACUUGUGCUCUCAGUCCGCUGUUCCCCCAACCAAUACACCAACAUCGCCUGAGGAGACUGACUCCACUGACCUUUCCGAGGUUCCACCUGAGUAUCAUGAUCUAUGCCAGUCUAUCACCUCCCAAGAAAAAUUAUGAUGUUGGGGAUCGUGAACUCCUGGCCAACAAACUCGCCUUGGAGGAGUGGCGUCACUGGCUGCAGGGCACAGAACACCCAGUACUGGUCUGGACUGAUCACAAGAACCUAUAUCUCCAGUCAGCUAAAUGGCUAAAUCCACGUCAAUCCUGUUGGUCAUUAUUCUUCUCACGAUUUAACCUAACCAUUUCUUACCAUCCUGGAACUAAAAACGUCAAACCUUACGCCCUGUCCUGUCAGUAUUCUCCUGAUGUAACCAGUGAGGGGCCUGUUCCCAUUUACCAACCAACUGCAUGAUCGGCUCCGUUACCUGGGAGAUCGAUAAUCUCAUUACACAGGCUACUCUUACAGACCCUAGUCCAAGCAACUGUCCCCCUAACAGGACCUAUGUUCCCCUGUCUGUCUGCUCCCGUCUGAUACAAUGGUUUCACUCCUCUAAGUUCUCUGCACAUCCUGGUUCCUCCCAUACCACCGCCUUGAUCACUCAUCGGUUUUGGUAGCCAACACUGCAUAAUGACGUUAAAGGAUUUGUUGGAGCCUGCACAAUCUGCGCCCGGAGCAAACCUACUCACCGGCCCCCUGCUGGACUUACUUCAACCUCUACCAUACCCAAAUGACCCUGGUCUCAUAUUGCCUUGGACUUUGUUAUGGGUCUGCCACCCUCACGUGGCAUGACAACCAUUCUGACGUUGGUGGAUCGAUUCUCCAAAUCAUGUCAUCUAGUUGCUCUAAAGAAACUUCCUUCUGCGUUUCAGAUGGCUCAGUUACUGGUCCGACAUGUGUUUCAUCUCCAUGGCAUCCCACAGGAAAUCCUCUCUGAUCGUGGCCAACAAUUCACCUCAAAGGUAUUUUGUUAUGCAUUAAAUGCUAAAGUCUCUCUCUCCUCUGGCUA